rnacentral:rRNA from 1 species
UACGUAGGUGGCAAGCGUUGUCCGGAAUUAUUGGGCGUAAAGAGCUCGUAGGCGGUUUGGUAAGUCAGACGUGAAAUCCCUCGGCUUAACCGGGGAACUGCGUCUGAUACUGGAUGGCUUGAGUUUGGGAGAGGGAUGCGGAAUUCCAGGUGUAGCGGUGAAAUGCGUAGAUAUCUGGAGGAACACCGGUGGCGAAGGCGGCAUCCUGGACCAACACUGACGCUGAGUGAGCGAAAGCCAGGGGAGCAAACGGG